UGUAUCUCUAUAGUCAGCCAGUGUGCUUCAGCCAUCCGUCUGUCCAGCAAUUCACGAUUCCCUCAUCUGUAAGAAAUUACAUUUCAGUAAUUAUCUCCUUUCAUCGAAAGUACCAUUUAAUUGUCAACUCUGAUUUCUGUCAUUACGCCCAGUGCUGUCAAUAAAACAUAAUGUUCACCUAAUUCCAAAUUUAUCUAUUCGGUUUCCUGCAAAAGUGGCUCUUCCGUGUGUGUGCGUCACCCUUUCGUCAAUGUCGUUGACUUUUGAUGAUUGAUGAGGUAAGCUCAGUGUAGUGCUUGGGUCACUAUAUCAUGAAUAAUUUAAAUAAAUAAAGGUGUUGUGUCACGUUGACAUUGCCUGUCGUAACUGUUUGUAAUCCUUCUCAUGACUAAUUAAUAUGGUGAUACGCACGAUUCAGAUCGUUUUAUUAUUAAUGAGAUUGUGAACGAGCACUUACGUAAUGGUUACGAUGUGCUCAAGUCUGGCGCAACUUCCUUUUAACCAAAAACUUUUGGCGGCGAGGAAGAAAGUAGUAGUAGUAGUAUCAUCAGCAGCAGGACAUGGCGCGGAGAGAGUUUCUUACAGACUGCAAUAGGGCAUUUCGGGAGUGUACUCGAUUGGCUCAAACAGACGAUCGGGAUGCUAUAGCAAUAAUAAUUACAAGGUAAGUGAUCUUGUUUUGUGGCACUGGACGCCCAUUAUUUCCCCCAGGGGCGGACAAGGCUAUCGGCAGUACCGGGAGUUUUCCCUGUGGGCCGCUGGACAACGUGGGCCGGCCCUUUGCAAUGUAAAUGUAUGAAUGAAUUGUAGUAAAUAGUCCAUAGGCCCAUCUUUCCGUCAGCACAGACGAAUUGUUCGCGCGGGCGCGGCCCACAAAGACUCUAAUCAGUGUGCUCAGUCUGUCUAAAAGCGCUUAUCAAUGUCAAAAUGUUUGAGAUAACCAAUCAAAUCAAAGGAGGCGGGAUUUACUGUCCACGGAAACCGAGCAGCGCUGCACUAUUUAAUGCUUGUAGAAUGCGAGCCGAGAUAACAUAAGCAGCUGAACAAAACAAUAUAGCCUACAGCAAUGUUUGCCAACUGUUUACGAUAAAUAAUAAUAAUAAACUGUUAAACGACGGGGAUUCAUUUCGAGGACGCACUUCUGACCUUUUCGGAUUGUUAUUCUUCACACAUUGGAUAAAGAAACAUUAACGUAACCUAUAGUGUUCAGCAUGUCAGAUAAAAGUGAAUGUGUGUCUGUUGUCAGGAUUUCUUCAGUAAUUUCACAAUCAUAAAACUCGAAAUAUUCUCAAACUUAAACUGCAUGGCAAAACCAGCAGCUUUCAUAUAACCUAUGUCCCGUAAAGUGUAAAACAUAUAAUUUUCUAAUAGUUCACACGCAUUAUUUUACAGACUGGCGAUCAAAAGUUUGAAAUAAGACUUCUUUAAUGUUUUUGAGGCGGAGAAGUAGGAGGAGGAAGAUAAGUAUUCUCUUGAGAAGGAAUGCAAUGAAGCAUUUUGCCUUUAACAAAUACCCAAACGCCCCUUUCUCCUAGCAUUUUUGUGCGCACAAUGUCCAUCUGUCGUGCUCGCUUGCUCUCAAUAGGCUACUGAGAAUCAUAAGUUAGGAAAGUCUGUCCUUCUCGGGCAGGUUUUUAUUAGUUUCGGUUUAGGAAAAAGGGCUCCACUUAAUAUUAAGUGGCCUUAAUACUAUGUACUUACAUCAAAAAGUAAGUACAAUGUACUUAUUGGGUUCAUAUUGAAUUGAAAAUCACUUUUGCUGCUAUUGAGGUGGGAUGUGGGUAAGGUUAGGUACAGGUUUGGUGGUAUGGGUUUAAGGGUAGGGGUAAGGUGUAAGGGAUGGGUCAACAGUGUUGGUUGGGUUGGUUAAAAAAAGCUUUAGAUCACUCCACAAGCACGCAGCUUAUAGUUGCAUGAGUUCCACUUGGACGUAAAAAGCAAAAUUGUCUUGCUAUUGGAUCCAAACCUUUGAAACGUUGUUUGAGCUGGACCUACUCUGAACCUGUUUAGUCAUAGGAGAGUCACGUCAUAAAAAAGCUUUAGUUAUUUAUUUGUUAGUUAUUUGCGGCUUCCCAUUUCAUUUAGCGAUAUAAAGUUUGGAGUUUUGUUUUUGAAUUUCAUCUCUAUUUAUUUGCUGCUAGCCAACGCAUUUAUCAGAUCCAAAAGCAUUGUUGAGAGGAGUUAUGGAAAAGCACAGACGAAUGAUAUCAUCAAUCGUUGUCGUUAUCAUGAUAGAAACUCGAGAUCAUGUUUGCAAAAAGCUGAUCAAGAACAUAAGGAGGUUGAGUAAAUAAUAAGAUAAUUCUCAUUGUGUAAUGAUAAUAAUAACAAUUUUUAUUUUGUAGUCAGAAAAACUUUUCAAACCGGCUAACUGAUAAACUAUUAUUUUCAAACAAAUGAAUAAGUCUUCAAUUUGUUACAUAGGAGUUCAAAGCGGUUUGUAUCGUUAAUACUUCUCCUUUCACAUUUAGCAGGGAGUGGAGCAGCGUUUUCACAAGCAAAAUUCUGCUGCUGACCCAGAGGAUGGAGUGGAAGUACCAGAUAUCCAUCAGAGAAGAAUUUAUUUCGUUCAGACAUAUCACCUUUGAAUGACUGGGAUCUUGAUCUUCAGACACCUAAUAUUAUGCAAAUAUUUUACUUUCUUUAGCGCUCUAGAUUAAAACAAACACAGCUCAGAAAUAAAUAAGAUGUUGUACUUUACUCCUAUUACUCGAUGCUGAUCUUGGAUAAACAAGAAUUAAGAUAACCCAUCUCUGAGUCCAUGUAAUGCAAAUGAAUAUGUAUUUUAAAAAGGUUACACUUUAAAAACCACACACAGUGACUGUGACAGUUAUCUAUACAACCCCAGUGAAGUAAAACAAUAGGUAACUAUUUACCAUCGCUUCUGACUAACUGCAUGCUACAAUCUACUUGAAUAUGGACUCACAGAGAUUGAUUAUUUUCUUAAAAAGCAGUGUUUAUAUGAAGAAAGUAAUAUAGUACAUCUUGGAUGGCAUGAAAGACUAUUAACAAAGACAUAUAUUGCACUCCCCUACCACAUAUUGUACCCACUGUCACUGUUUUAUUUUUACUGUGACAGUAACUGUUUAAAUGAUCUCUGCAUCAUUAAAAUAAAACAUUUUACACAUA